UGGGAAAAAGGCCUCCAAAUGUCCAUUCU
rnacentral:piRNA from 1 species